rnacentral:miRNA from 12 species
CGGGUUUCGCGACGAUUGAGCC